GCAUCUUCCUGCCUAUGGAUUUUCCUCUUCUGGCACCUCAAUGUUUAAAUUUAUCAUGUGGACAGAAAGAAAAGAAAAUGCAGAAUAGACAGUCAAGAAUAACUCCUUCUCCAAACAGUUCCAAUCCAGUAUGUCAACAGCCCAACUGGCAACAAUGCUGACUUUUUGCUACCAGGCAACACUCAAUAGCUGAGCUCCAGGAGGUCCAACUAACAGUGGUGACCCAGGCGGCCCAGG